ACCGGUACCGUAUCUGGUAGAAGAGACAUAUCCGGUACCGGAUCGGUCUCAUCCAUUUUGAAACUGUAAAAAAAUCAUUUAAAUCAAGAGAGGUAGCCAGAGGAAUAGAAACAUGUAAAAAAAUAAAAUACAAUUUGUGGAGUAGCGGCA
ensembl:ncRNA ZK512.14 ncRNA